UUGAAUGCGAGUCUGUGACUGUAGUUGCUGUACCAACUUCAAGUGCUGUAGUGCCUGUGAAUGAUCCAUGAGUUGUAUUUCCUGGUAGCCAAACUUCCUCAACACCAUCAUGGCUUUGUGUUCUGCGGCCUCUGCUCGUGCCAUGUCAUCAGCUGCGGCUGCCAAAAUUAGCACAGUCACAGUGAUAGGGAGCGGACUCAUGGGUGCUGGAGUUGCCCAGGUGGCAGCCCAGGCUGGGCAAAAGGUGCACCUUGUUGACGUGGAUGCCGCUGCAGUGCAGGCUGCCCAGCAGCGCAUCAAGCAGUCUCUGCAGCGAGUUGCCAAGAAGAAAU